rnacentral:lncRNA from 12 species
AUGGAGAUUGCAGGUCGAUUAAAAAAAGUGGAUAAGCUGGUGAUGGGUGAAGCUGUGAAGAUCACGGUCGGCAUCCUGAGGAAGAUGGACCAGAACAAUCUGGCUGAGCAGCUGGAUAACAAACACAUGCAUGCUGAUAAAUCUCCAGUCCAGAUAAGAAGCAGUGCUCAGCCUGGAGCCAAUGUUGUUGAAGUGAAAGCUGAAACAAGUGCAAGUGUAAAUGCUCCUGUACUCGCUGGAAGCACCUUCACUGGAACAGUAAACUUCAACUUCAACUCACAUGCUGCAGGAAAUGAUAAACACAAAUGCUCAGAGACAGCAGAGAAUAACAGAGAAAAACAAGGACUGCAAGUGGAAGAAAGCAGAAAAGCCAAAAAGCAAGCGAAAGUUGAGCAGCAUUGCCGAGCAACGAAGAAAUCUGGAAUACCAGCAGGACAUGCAUUUCAAGCUGAAAGCAGUGACAAAGUUGGUGCACAAGCAGGAGACUUUGAAUAAAAAAAUCAUGAAGUUGGUAAGAGAGAUGGCUGAGUAUAAUAAGAUCCAUCUCGAGCUGCAAGCACUGACAAAGGGUUUAGAGUCUUUGAAGCUCAAAGCUCCAAUGUUUAAGAUGUAAGAGUUUCUUUUGGGGGGAAUCAUGAUCAUGUUUCAAAUAUUUAUUUAAUUUUUAUUUCUUUUUUAUUUCUCUUUUAUUUUUCUAACCUUUGAAGGUAUUAAUCUUUGUGGUUUAAGAGUUGAUGUAUGCUUUGUUCGUUUAAAGAGUGUAAAAGGACGCGGUUGCAUUUUCCAACGUGCUUGAGAGAUGAAACUGCAACCGAGUAGUGUUGAUUUUGCAAUGCAUGAAGGUGUGACUUCUGUGGUUGAACCGAGCACACUUGUAACUAUGCAGAAAAAGGUGUUACGGAUAUUUUUGUACUAACGUGUGUAUGUUGCUGACCACCCCUGCCAUUCUUCCCUUUGAACUUUUGACACUCUGUAUUAGAUGUGAUAAAGGUCAGGUACUAUGCUUGUGAAUGAAUACACGUGAUUACCAAAUAAGGGAGAAUGUAGGGGAGGUAUUCAAAGGGUAUGCAAAGCUAUAAAAGGGAGAGAAAAUCUGAGUGCGGGGCCGCACUUCGAUGGCGAAGACUUACUUGCUUUUUUUUUUUUCAUUUUUGAUUACUUAUGAGUUAUUGUCCAUUAAUAAAACGAAACCAUGACAAAUGGUGAUGAGAAAAAUUUUAUUAAACAAUAAAGUCUCUGAGUAAUUCAUUUAUGAAUAGUAAAUGAUUAUAAACUGAAUAAUCCUACGGGCCUCAAGUAGACCGAACUCAGCUGAGCAGUUGCGGGUGCCGGGGAGGAUUCCACAUCUUCUCAUCGCAGAUCUGGACCUCAGUGGUAAGAACAGAUUAAUUAUGACUGUCAAGGAGAAUAGGAAAUGUGUAGAUAUUUAGUGGAUUUCCCUCGGGACAGAAAUACAACAUGGCGUCCAAUGUGUGAGGCUCAAUUAGUAGGAAAAAUUCAGGAAUAAUAAUAAUAGCGAGAAGUGUCGGUCUAAAGUCCUUACACACCACGCCCACAGAAAUGGUUCAAAGGGACCUAAACGAACACACUGGCAAUCCAGAGGGAUUCGUGUGUAUAGAGAUACAGUCCAAAGGGACUUAAAAGAACACACUAGAAGUCCAGAGGGACUUGUGAGUAGAGAGUGACGGUCCAGAGGGACAUACAUCAAAUUACGCACGCACAGGCUUAUGAAAAGACCUGAAACAGAGAGAUUAAGAGCUCAGGGAUGUGUGAAUAGAGACCGAAAGAUCUAGGUGGUAAACUUAGCUGGAUUAAUCCCACGCAGUGUUUAUGCGGAUCCGGCCUCUUGCCAUGGGGAGAAAUGAGGAUGAUUGCCUCAGUGGUAAACAUGAGGGCUUGUGAAGGAGCAGAGGUUCCGCCCUUUAUUUUCUCCAGCAGAGGCGGGAGAGAAACGUUCCCCAAAGUCAGAGUGUUUGACGGGUCUGGGGGCGAAAUUAGAGAUAUAACGACCCGAAGUUGGGAUGCCUUUGAUGAAACAGAUCAGGGAGAGGGAUCCGAGAGAGGAUCUAUAGCUCCUAGAUUUGGCCUCCGGAGUGAAGGGGGUGAGUCUGCUCUAGGUCCUAGUGCUCCCAUGAUGGAUAACCCCAUGAGUCCCGACGGAGAGACUUCAUCAGGAUAUAGGGAACACGGCAGUAACUAUGAUACCUUCCGAUUAGGAAGAGGGUAUUAUAGACCCACACACGCUAU